UUAAGUUAUUAAGGGCGCACGGUGGAUGCCUUGGCACUAGAAGCCGAUGAAGGACGUUACUAACGACGAUAUGCUUUGGGGAGCUGUAAGUAAGCUUUGAUCCAGAGAUUUCCGAAUGGGGAAACCCAGCAUGAGUUAUGUCAUGUUAUCGAUAUGUGAAUACAUAGCAUAUCAGAAGGCACACCCGGAGAACUGAAACAUCUUAGUACCCGGAGGAAGAGAAAGAAAAUUCGAUUCCCUUAGUAGCGGCGAGCGAAACGGGAAGAGCCCAAACCAACAAGCUUGCUUGUUGGGGUUGUAGGACACUCUAUACGGAGUUACAAAGGACGACAUUAGACGAAUCAUCUGGAAAGAUGAAUCAAAGAAGGUAAUAAUCCUGUAGUCGAAAAUGUUGUCUCUCUUGAGUGGAUCCUGAGUACGACGGAGCACGUGAAAUUCCGUCGGAAUCUGGGAGGACCAUCUCCUAAGGCUAAAUACUCUCUAGUGACCGAUAGUGAACCAGUACCGUGAGGGAAAGGUGAAAAGCACCCCGGAAGGGGAGUGAAAUAGAACCUGAAACCGUGUGCUUACAAGUAGUCAGAGCCCGUUAAUGGGUGAUGGCGUGCCUUUUGUAGAAUGAACCGGCGAGUUACGAUUUGAUGCAAGGUUAAGCAGUAAAUGUGGAGCCGUAGCGAAAGCGAGUCUGAAUAGGGCGUUUAGUAUUUGGUCGUAGACCCGAAACCAGGUGAUCUACCCUUGGUCAGGUUGAAGUUCAGGUAACACUGAAUGGAGGACCGAACCGACUUACGUUGAAAAGUGAGCGGAUGAACUGAGGGUAGCGGAGAAAUUCCAAUCGAACCUGGAGAUAGCUGGUUCUCUCCGAAAUAGCUUUAGGGCUAGCCUCAAGUGAUGAUUAUUGGAGGUAGAGCACUGUUUGGACGAGGGGCCCCUCUCGGGUUACCGAAUUCAGACAAACUCCGAAUGCCAAUUAAUUUAACUUGGGAGUCAGAACAUGGGUGAUAAGGUCCGUGUUCGAAAGGGAAACAGCCCAGACCACCAGCUAAGGUCCCAAAAUAUAUGUUAAGUGGAAAAGGAUGUGGCGUUGCCCAGACAACUAGGAUGUUGGCUUAGAAGCAGCCAUCAUUUAAAGAGUGCGUAAUAGCUCACUAGUCGAGUGACACUGCGCCGAAAAUGUACCGGGGCUAAACAUAUUACCGAAGCUGUGGAUUGUCCUUUGGACAAUGGUAGGAGAGCGUUCUAAGGGCGUUGAAGCAUGAUCGUAAGGACAUGUGGAGCGCUUAGAAGUGAGAAUGCCGGUGUGAGUAGCGAAAGACGGGUGAGAAUCCCGUCCACCGAUUGACUAAGGUUUCCAGAGGAAGGCUCGUCCGCUCUGGGUUAGUCGGGUCCUAAGCUGAGGCCGACAGGCGUAGGCGAUGGAUAACAGGUUGAUAUUCCUGUACCACCUAUAAUCGUUUUAAUCGAUGGGGGGACGCAGUAGGAUAGGCGAAGCGUGCGAUUGGAUUGCACGUCUAAGCAGUAAGGCUGAGUAUUAGGCAAAUCCGGUACUCGUUAAGGCUGAGCUGUGAUGGGGAGAAGACAUUGUGUCUUCGAGUCGUUGAUUUCACACUGCCGAGAAAAGCCUCUAGAUAGAAAAUAGGUGCCCGUACCGCAAACCGACACAGGUAGUCAAGAUGAGAAUUCUAAGGUGAGCGAGCGAACUCUCGUUAAGGAACUCGGCAAAAUGACCCCGUAACUUCGGGAGAAGGGGUGCUCUUUAGGGUUAACGCCCAGAAGAGCCGCAGUGAAUAGGCCCAAGCGACUGUUUAUCAAAAACACAGGUCUCUGCUAAACCGUAAGGUGAUGUAUAGGGGCUGACGCCUGCCCGGUGCUGGAAGGUUAAGAGGAGUGGUUAGCUUCUGCGAAGCUACGAAUCGAAGCCCCAGUAAACGGCGGCCGUAACUAUAACGGUCCUAAGGUAGCGAAAUUCCUUGUCGGGUAAGUUCCGACCCGCACGAAAGGCGUAACGAUUUGGGCACUGUCUCAACGAGAGACUCGGUGAAAUCAUAGUACCUGUGAAGAUGCAGGUUACCCGCGACAGGACGGAAAGACCCCGUGGAGCUUUACUGUAGCCUGAUAUUGAAAUUCGGCACAGCUUGUACAGGAUAGGUAGGAGCCUUUGAAACGUGAGCGCUAGCUUACGUGGAGGCGCUGGUGGGAUACUACCCUAGCUGUGUUGGCUUUCUAACCCGCACCACUUAUCGUGGUGGGAGACAGUGUCAGGCGGGCAGUUUGACUGGGGCGGUCGCCUCCUAAAAGGUAACGGAGGCGCUCAAAGGUUUCCUCAGAAUGGUUGGAAAUCAUUCAUAGAGUGUAAAGGCAUAAGGGAGCUUGACUGCGAGACCUACAAGUCGAGCAGGGUCGAAAGACGGACUUAGUGAUCCGGUGGUUCCGCAUGGAAGGGCCAUCGCUCAACGGAUAAAAGCUACCCCGGGGAUAACAGGCUUAUCUCCCCCAAGAGUUCACAUCGACGGGGAGGUUUGGCACCUCGAUGUCGGCUCAUCGCAUCCUGGGGCUGUAGUCGGUCCCAAGGGUUGGGCUGUUCGCCCAUUAAAGCGGUACGCGAGCUGGGUUCAGAACGUCGUGAGACAGUUCGGUCCCUAUCCGUCGUGGGCGUAGGAAAUUUGAGAGGAGCUGUCCUUAGUACGAGAGGACCGGGAUGGACAUACCUCUGGUGUACCAGUUGUCGUGCCAACGGCAUAGCUGGGUAGCUAUGUGUGGACGGGAUAAGUGCUGAAAGCAUCUAAGCAUGAAGCCCCCCUCAAGAUGAGAUUUCCCAACUUCGGUUAUAAGAUCCCUCAAAGAUGAUGAGGUUAAUAGGUUCGAGGUGGAAGCAUGGUGACAUGUGGAGCUGACGAAUACUAAUCGAUCGAAGACUUAAUCAA
rnacentral:rRNA from 2 species